rnacentral:rRNA from 1 species
AACGAACGCUGGCGGCAGGCUUAACACAUGCAAGUCGAACGCCCCGCAAGGGGAGUGGCAGACGGGUGAGUAACGCGUGGGAAUCUACCUGGUACUACGGAACAACACAGGGAAACUUGUGCUAAUACCGUAUACGCCCUACGGGGGAAAGAUUUAUCGGUAUCAGAUGAGCCCGCGUUGGAUUAGCUAGUUGGUGAGGUAAUGGCUCACCAAGGCGACGAUCCAUAGCUGGUCUGAGAGGAUGAUCAGCCACACUGGGACUGAGACACGGCCCAGACUCCUACGGGAGGCAGCAGUGGGGAAUAUUGGACAAUGGGCGAAAGCCUGAUCCAGCCAUGCCGCGUGAGUGAUGAAGGCCUUAGGGUUGUAAAGCUCUUUCAGUGGGGGAGAUAAUGACGGUACCCACAGAAGAAGCCCCGGCUAACUUCGUGCCAGCCGCCGCCGUAACAC